UACAGGUCCUAAUCAAUGCACCAAAUCUGUAAUCACCAAAGAGCAGGUCUGGAUGUAUAGAUUCGUAUGACUGUCCUAAGCCAAGAUCACAUUCUCACCUACCAAGUACUCGCUGGACUAAAGGAGAUCAUAUAAAUGCUCCAUAAUUGUGCAACAUCCUUUGGCAACUGUUUCAAUUUGUCAGAAAUGCUCAGGAAAUUAAAUGUGAGGAAGUCUACUGAAGCUGCUUUAGAAGGACAGAUACAGCACACCAGCCAGUUCACUCUGUUCAACUCCUUCCUGACUUCAAAUAACUCCAUCAAGCCUGCAAGCUCCUCUGGACACGAACAAGAGGUGGUAUCCAAUCUGCCAUAGCAGAACUUCACCUGGGAGAAAACUGGAACCUAAUGCAGGACUGUGCAGAGCAGGCAUUGCCUCAUAAGGAGUGUUCAGCUCUCUUGGAAAAACUGAAACCAUUCCUUAAGUGGCCAAACUCUCCCUUCAGUCCUGAAAAUUUUUAUUAUUGAAAAAACAAGAGAA